AUUGCAUCGAUCCUCAACCUCCAUUCAAGAACUUAUUUGCACCAAUGACCUCCCUCUAAGACUCCUACCAAUCGGUGGAGUCCUUCAACCGCCCCUUGGAGAUAGCAUUUCGAGGAAUGGAGUUAUGAAGAAAUAAAAUAAAAACCAAAAAACAAGAACACCGUCGUAUUAAAAUGCUUUAUAUACAAUGCACCUUUGAAAGUUGUCUCAGAAUCUCUUUAGUUGAAAAGAUUUGUAUAACCAAUAUAAUUUUAAUCACAACUAUUGUUCAUGCUACAAUGGUUAGGGAAUAUGAGG
rnacentral:lncRNA from 1 species